rnacentral:rRNA from 1 species
GACGAACGCUGGCGGCGUGCUUAACACAUGCAAGUCGAACGGAAAGGCCCUGCUUUCGUGGGGUGCUCGAGUGGCGAACGGGUGAGUAACACGUGAGUAACCUGCCCUUGACUUUGGGAUAACUUAAGGAAACUGGGGCUAAUACCGGAUAGGAGCUCCUGCUGCAUGGUGGGGGUUGGAAAGUUUCGGCGGUUGGGGAUGGACGCGCGGCUUAUCAGCUUGUUGGUGGGGUAGUGGAUUACCAAGGCUUUGACGGGUAGCCGGCCUGGGAGGGUGACCGGCCACAUUGGGACUGAGAUACGGCCCAGACGCCUACGGGAGGCAGCAGUGGGGAAUAUUGCACAAUGGGCGGGAGCCUGAUGCAGCAACGCCGCGUGCGGGAUGACGGCCUUCGGGUUGUAAACCGCAUUCGCCUGUGACGAAGCGUGAGUGACGGUAAUGAGUAAAGAAGCACCGGCUAACUACGUG